AGGACAGAGAGGGGAGCCGGAGGAGCCGGGGCUGAGAAGUGAGCGGAUUCAGUCAAGACUGCCUCCCCCACGGCGCCUCCCAGCUUUGGCGGUUUCUCUGUCAUUUGUUUCCAUGCCCCGCCCUCGCCACGCUGCUCCGGCUCCUCCUCUCCGUUUCAGCUCGCCCCGGAUCCCUGCGGCUCACCCGGACCGCCAGACUCCGGGAUCCCUCCAAGCAGCGGCCUCAGGGAGGUGAAGCGCACGAAUUCCACUCCGGUGCCAAAGGCCAGGAUGAAGGAGGCGAGGGCCGCAGGAACCAGCAGUAGCGCGGGGGCCAUGACGAGCAGUGCAGAGCGGGCGGAGGAGGCGGGCUCAGGGUUCCCGCGACUGCUGACCCUGCCCAGGUCCCGCCCCUUUGAGGGAUGCUGGCGGCAAGGCGGGGACCGGGAGCGGCGCGUCACUGCGCGGAGCUUGGAAUCCCAGGCGUCGUCAGGGCAGCAGGUCUGCAGCUGCCCUUGUGGGUGGAAUCUCAGCGCUGUCAGUGUUCUCGAAGAAAGUGAAGACAGAGUCUCCCUUGCGUGGAAACAUAAAGAACAUCCUGUUUUUAAAGAAAAUCACUCCAUAUUCUCCAGCCUCAGUCCCUGGUGUGCUGGGGUUACAAACGGCACCACCCCGCCCAACAUAGAUUCUUGUAUAGUGACCGUUUUAGAGCUGGGUGUGGUGUCUCCUGCCUAUAAUUCCAGAACUCUGAAGGGUGAGGCAGGAGGAUUUGAAGUUAGCUUGAACUGUAUAUGGAGACCGGUUCCG
rnacentral:lncRNA from 1 species